GGUCCUAUGGUGGAGGGGCUCACAGCUCACAGAGUGGAGGUGAUCAGGUCCUAUGGUGGAGGGGCUCACAGCUCACAGAGUGGAGGUGAUCAGGUCCUAUGGUGGAGGGGCUCACAGCUCACAGAGUGGAGGUGAUCAGGUCCUAUGGUGGAGGGGCUCACAGCUCACAGAGUGGAGGUGAUCAGGUCCUAUGGUGGAGGGGCUCACAGCUCACAGAGUGGAGGUGAUCAGGUCCUAUGGUGGAGGGGCUCACAG